CUUGGCAACUGCCGGGGAGCUUUGGCGUGGGGCGAGGCGGAGGGAAGGGGACAGUCGCUGGCGUGAGGAGCUGCGGGACGGCAGAGGCCCAGGGAUUUGGCUCUGCCUCCAGCUUGGGCAGGCUGCAUGAAUCCUGCCUCCGCCCAAAGCCCACAGGACCCGGGACCACCUCCACACUCUCUGGCUGUCCUGCGGCUCCGUCCCCGAACAGCGCACCGGGGGUUCUGACCUGUCCAUGGCACCUGCUGCAUGGAUGAAGGAUACACCUGAGACCAAGUGAGGACACCCUGCAGCCCCCGCUUUCACCCCUGAAGGACAGGGUCACACGAAGCAUGGUGAAUUUCCCAGCACACAGUCUGUCUGGUGUGGUCACCUCCUUCCUCUUCAUCCUGCUGACCAUGAAGCAGUCAGAUGACUUUAGAGUGGUGGGUCCCGCGCGUCCCGUCGUGGCCAGGGUCGGGGAAGACGCCCUGCUCACCUGCCGGCUCCUGCCCCGGCGGCCGGCCGCGCGCAUGGACGUGCGGUGGUACCGCGCGGAG
ensembl:lincRNA